AACAGUUGAUCAAAAAGGAUAGAGGAAGAAGAGCAAUUUGGACGAAAGAUGCAACAUGAACUACUUCAACACUAUUCAAUCAAGGUUUGGAAAGUGGAGAAGAGGAAAGAAGCAACAAAGAGAAGAGGGAAAAGAGAAAAGAAUUCGAUAGAUGAGGGAACCCAAAAACUAUUCGGCCAAAAUAGAAAAAAAAAGAUAAAAGGAAAGAGCAGCAAAAGAAAACCCAGA
rnacentral:lncRNA from 1 species